rnacentral:rRNA from 1 species
UACGUAGGGUGCGAGCGUUGUCCGGAAUUACUGGGCGUAAAGAGCUCGUAGGCGGUUUGUCGCGUCUGCUGUGAAAACUCGGGGCUCAACCCCGAGCUUGCAGUGGGUACGGGCAGACUAGAGUGCGGUAGGGGAGACUGGAAUUCCUGGUGUAGCGGUGGAAUGCGCAGAGUAUCAGGAGGAACACCGAUGGCAAGGCAGGAUCGACCGUGGGCCGCG